GGGGAAUAUUGGACAAUGGGGGGAACCCUGAUCCAGCAAUGCCGCGUGUGUGAAGAAGGCCUGAGGGUUGUAAAGCACUUUCAGUGGGGAGGAGGGUUGACUGGUUAAGAGCUGGUUGACUGGACGUUACCCACAGAAGAAGCACCGGCUAACUCCGUGCCAGCAGCCGCGGUAAUACGGAGGGUGCGAGCGUUAAUCGGAAUUACUGGGCGUAAAGGGUGCGUAGGUGGUUUGAUAAGUUAUCUGUGAAAUUCCUGGGCUUAACCUGGGGUGGUCAGAUGAGACUGUUGGACUUGAGUACGGGAGAGGGCAGUGGAAUUUCCGGUGUAGCGGUGAAAUGCGUAGAGAUCGGAAGGAACACCAGUGGCGAAGGCGGCUGCCUGGCCUGAUACUGACACUGAGGCACGAAAGCGUGGGGAGCAAAC
rnacentral:rRNA from 1 species